rnacentral:rRNA from 1 species
CCCCUAGUAACUGCGAGUGAAGCGGGAAAAGCUCAAAUUUAAAAUCUGGCGGUCUUUGGCUGUCCGAGUUGUAGUCUGGAGAAGUGCUUUCCGCGCUGGACCGUGUACAAGUCUCUUGGAACAGAGCGUCAUAGAGGGUGAGAAUCCCGUCUUUGACACGGACUACCAGUGCUUUGUGAUGCGCUCUCAAUGAGUCGAGUUGUUUGGGAAUGCAGCUCAAAAUGGGUGGUAAAUUCCAUCUAAAGCUAAAUAUUGGCGAGAGACCGAUAGCGAACAAGUACCGUGAGGGAAAGAUGAAAAGCACUUUGGAAAGAGAGUUAAACAGUACGUGAAAUUGCUGAAAGGGAAACACUUGAAGUCAGUCGCGUUGGCCAGGACUCAGCCUUGCUUUAGCUUGGUGCAUUUUCUGGUUGACGGGCCAGCAUCGAUUUUGGUUGUCGGAUAAAGGCAGGGGGAAUGUGGCAUCUUCGGAUGUGUUAUAGCCCUCAGUCACAUACGACGGCUGGGAUCGAGGACCGCAGCACGCCUUUAUGGCCGGGGUUCGCCCACGUUCGUGCUUAGGAUGCUGGCAUAAUGGCUUUAAAUGACCCGUCUUGAAACACGGACCAAGGAGUCUAACAUGCCUGCGAGUGUUUGGGUGGAAAACCCGAGCGCGUAAUGAAAGUGAAAGUUGAGAUCCCUGUCGUGGGGAGCAUCGACGCCCGGACCUGACCUUCUGUGAUGGAUCUGCGGUAGAGCAUGUAUGUUGGGACCCGAAAGAUGGUGAACUAUGC